rnacentral:rRNA from 1 species
UACGAAGGGGGCUAGCGUUGCUCGGAAUCACUGGGCGUAAAGCGCACGUAGGCGGCUUUUUAAGUCAGGGGUGAAAUCCCGGAGCUCAACUCCGGAACUGCCCUUGAUACUGAGAAGCUCGAGUUCGGGAGAGGUGAGUGGAACUGCGAGUGUAGAGGUGAAAUUCGUAGAUAUUCGCAAGAACACCAGUGGCGAAGGCGGCUCACUGGCCCGAUACUGACGCUGAGGUGCGAAAGCGUGGGGAGCAAACAGGAUUAGAUACCC